rnacentral:lncRNA from 1 species
CCAUCUGAGUCGCCGUGGUGGGGUGGCGCGUUGAAGCUAGGUAACUUUAACUCGGAGAAGCGAACAGUUCCAGAGAAACUGAAGCAAAUGAGCUUAUUUGACGCAGUUCAAAUUUGGAGAGCUCGAAACAGUUGGAGCAAUGACGGAUGAAGAAAAUCCCCAAUUGAUCCUCUCUGCUGCCAAUUCUACUCCAGUAGUCUGACCAUGGUAAACAUUUUCUCUCUUAAUUGGUUUUUUUUUUUUUUUUUCAUUUACUGUACGCACACCGUGAAAAAACCAAAUCAAUCUGCUUAUUCGUUUGUUUCUAUGAGUGCUCCAUGCGAUUUUCUGUGUGCGCGUGUGUGAUUUGUUGUGACUAAUUGCAUGUUUGAAGAUUGUUAAUUCAAAAACUGAGCAAGAGGAAAUGGAAACCAUGCUUUUAGCUUUAGGUUGAAUAGAUUCACAAGAGGAAAAAAAAGGGGGGAACUACAUAGGUACAUUGUUCAUACAAAAAUUAGUGCAAGCAAUAAGAAGCUUAAUCUCUGAAGAGAUUAGCCGCCUGACGACUGACUUUAAGAGGCAGCCCAAAAUUCUGAUAAACCCUAAUCUCACCUUCCAAGCUCGCCGUCACAAUGACUAGCCCCCAUGCCGUUGCUUGAACAGUGUGACCCCCUUGCCCCCCAUCAAACAAAGACCAAGAAGUUGACCAAGACUGCGAUGGGGAAGUGGCGGAAGCAGAAAUGGAAGGCGACUCACCAUAACUAAUCGAUGCAGACGAUGAAUCGAAAGAGUCCCUCACGCCUAUUCCAGGAUCUAUGGGAGCGGAUUGAGCGAAUUCCUCAUCAGCACCGCUCGAUACCCUCUCCAAACGGUUGUUCUUCUUGGGCAGAGGGGGCAAUUGCCUCCUGCUACUGGUCCCCACCAAGUUUUCCUCACGGGUCGGAGAGUUGCUGCUGGAAUUUGGUGGUAGUGGAGCGGUUGACCGUUUUGAGUGUCUUUUGGAAUGUAUUUCUACUACCGGUGGCUCGUUUUUUAUGCUACCUGGCCAUGGGAUUGCUACCGAUACAUCCCUACAGUGGAAGUGCUCGUGUGCUUGUACGGUGAUUCUGCUUUUUCUCUUUCCACCGCUCGGACUUUUGGACUCUUCGACUUUCCAUAUAUAGACCUGAGAGUCCUCGCUGGCGCUUAUGACGUGUCUUCCGUCUGGACUGAAUGAAGCUGCAAUCUGGCUGCCCGUGUUUCGAAAUCCUGUGAUGAUAAUGAUGGGAAAUUGAUUGGUUUGAGUUUGCCGGUCGUUGCCUCGUGAAGUUAUGAAUGAGUAUGUGAGAGGUGGCAUUAUAAUUUGUACCUCUAUAUUUUUGGACGAGCUCUGGUCCAUUAUGUAUCCGAAUUCGAGAAUCAGUGGAAGUGAUGAGCACUUCAGAUGGAUUCCAAGGAGCAUACUGCAGGUAAAGUAAAUAUUAAACAAUUUGGGAAUUGGUUUGAAUGGAAGGAGUUAGAUCGUGGAUUGAAGAUUACCUGAAAACCAGUGACUUUUUUGGGUUGAGUUUGAGAUUGAAAACCAGGGAGUUUUUUGGCUUGAGACUUCGUCUUCAACUGGAUAUCACUGAGGUGUUCCAGUUUGCAAUCUAGGAUAUAAAAGCACACUCAGAAUAAGGUAUUACUAGUGUUAAAAAGAGUAUCGAAAACCUUGCAGUUGGAAGACGUUCUUACCAUCAAUGCUAUAAGUUCGACAGAUCCCUUGAUGAGAACCAAUAAUAGCACCCUUCAAAGAUGGAAAUAAAUGAAAUCAGAACAAUGUUUUCGUCACUUAUUUGAUCAAGGAUUGCAUUUUCUUUCUCAUUCUAAUGUUAUUUGUUCUUCUAGACGAACUAACUUAGCAGAGAUUGAAAUGAUUCCUACUUGAUUUUUCUGAAGCUAAGUAAACUACUAAAGACACUAAACAUGCAUGUGUUGGUCAGAGUUUAUUAUAAAAGAUCUAAUCAACACAAAAGUAGCUUAUUCAUAGAAAUCUUUAUUGCAGAUUUAUUUUUAAAGAAUUUCAUCUGGGCUACCUGACCAUCGGGAGUGUAGCUAGCAGCAGUAACCAUUUCAUGAAGAUCUGUCCAGUCAACAACCUUACGAGCAGGUAUAUUCCAAAUUCGAACCUUUCCAUCUAGUGAGCCGCUCAUAAAGUAGUUGUCAUCUACUGGAUUGAACUGUAUGCAAGUUACUGCCAUAUCAUCAUAGACUCAUUAGGCAUAAAUAAUGAUCCAUGCAAGUAAAGAGACUUAUCAUACCACUUUUAAGCGAUUGAUGACUGAGUAACUGCAGUAUAAUUUGGCAUCUCACCAUAGUCAUUGUGUGCAAACAUCUUCAGACAGCUCUUUGUUUCCAGAUCCCACAUCCUAACCGUCUUAUCCAUUGAAGAUGAAAGCAAUAGCUGCGAAUAAUAUCUGACUUAGUCAACUAUUUCUGAAAACCAAUUAUGUUCAUACUAUUCAUAAAGAAAUACAUUGAACUCUUUCAUUUAUUUAGGAAUUUAGGAAUUAUAUAAAAUAAAAUGACUAAGCCUCAACUUUCCCAUGAUUAAGCUAAAUUUGCAAGAAGCUGACCUGUGAUGUCGACCACGAGAGAUCCAGGACAUGAUCUUGAUGACCUUUGAAAGUGAAUACUGGUUUCUCUGAAAGAGCAAAAACAGUAUCUGGCACAUUUACAUAGUCCGGGAUUGAGUUGCCUUUCUUUUUGUUAUUUUUACCCUUUUUCUUCCUUUCAGAUGGCAUAGGUAUUAUUUCCGCAAGUGGAGGACGGUCUGAAGCAAUCCCAGCCAUCGGAUGAACAGGUGUGCCACCGGCCGAACUCAAAUCAUCGCCUGAUCUUGCCGACAGCACGUCACAUUCCUGCACUUCCCACACAUGAAUCACUUUAUCUUCACCUGCACUUGCUAGAAAACGUGCGUCACAGCUGAAUCUAAUAGCCCAUAUAGAACCCUCGUGCGCUAGUAUUUCUUGAGACAUAUGCAGUGCCGUAAAUUCUUUGUAUGAUUUCCCAUGCUGACGAGCUUUUACCCAUUCCGAUGUAGCCUUAGGAGGAGGAGGAGGAG